rnacentral:tRNA from 1 species
GACACUUUGGCCGAGUGGUUAAGGCGAUGGCCUGCUAUCAUCCGAUGUUCAACCUUGAGCAUCGAUAGUUAGCCAUUGGGUUCGCCCGCGCAGGUUCGAAUCCUGCAGGUGUCG